CGCAGGGGCUGAUGGGAGCGCCGUGCGGCGGUUGGGCCCUGCCGGGCGGGAUGCGCGGCCCGGCCCGCGGCAGCUGUGGAUUCUUGUAGAAGAUUGAUAACUGCCAACAUUUGUCCAAAAGAGAAGAUGGGUGGAUUAAUUUCAAGAUGGAGGCAGGCAAAGCCCUCCACUGUAGAAGUAUUAGAAAAAAUUGAUAAGGAAAUACAGACAUUAGAAGAAUUUAGAGAAAAAAAUCAGAGGCUACAGAAACUGUGGGUUGGAAGGCUGCUUCUCUACUCUUCACUUCUUUACCUUAUCACCUGCUUAAUUGUAUAUUUGUGGUGUCUUCCUGAUGAAUGGACAGCAAGGCUGGCUAUGACACUUCCAUUUUUUGCAUUUCCAUUAAUAAUCUGGUGUAUAAGAACACUGCUCAUUUUUUUCUUUUCCAAAAGGACAGAGAGGAAUAAUGAUGCGCUGGAAGAUUUAAAGUCUCAAAAGAAAAAAAUACUUGAGGAAGUAAUGGAGAAGGAAACUUACAAGACUGCUAAAUUAAUUCUUGAAAGGUUUGAUCCAAAAUCAAGUGCAAAGGAGGCUGAACUACCAUCUGCUGGAACAUCUGCAACCCCAAGACCUGGACAAGAAAUACGGCAGAGGACCACAGCUCAAAGAAAUGCUUCUACAUCCCCACCUAUGACUCCUAAACAAGGCUCUCCAAAACCCCUGCUUCCAGUAUCUCCUAGUCUGCAGAGAGAUGCAUCACCUCUGAGUGGACCUCCAGAAAGAACUGCUGUGCCAUCCUUGCAGUCAAACGUUUUACCAAGACGUCCUGGAUCCCCUGCUACUUCAGUGCCUGGAAUGGGUCUUCAUCCUCCAGGCCCUCCUUUGGCAAGACCUAUUCUUCCUCGAGAAAGAGGAGUUGUUGAUAGAGUUAUUGAAUAUUUGGUUGGCGAUGGUCCUCAGAACAGGUACGCCCUUAUAUGUCAGCAAUGUUUUUCUCACAAUGGUAUGGCUUUGAAGGAGGAGUUUGAAUACGUAGCAUUUAGAUGUGCCUACUGCUUUUUCCUGAAUCCUGCAAGAAAAACUAGACCUCAGGCUCCACGACUUCCAGACUUCAGCUUUGAAAAAAAAAGGCCUAAAGAAUUGCCACCUGAAACUGAGCCUCUAGAGCCUAGAGAGACAAAGUCUCAGGAGACUCAAAAGGCAGAAGAAUCUGGAGAAGACACAGCCCAGAUCACUGAGGCAAAUGAGACAGACGAUAAAGCACCAAGUCCUGAGCAGCUACAUGAUAAGCUAUCUGAAGAAGAUGAAAAAGAAGCAGAAAACAUUUCAGCAACUGAAGACUCUAUUUCAGAGGCUGUUUCAGCUGAACAAAGUGAAGAAUCUUUAAUGAAAGCAGAAUAAAGUACUUCAAGUGCCUUCUCUAGCUAGUUUUUAGCUUUGUUCAUGCCUGUUGUUACUAUUCAGAGAUGCUGAAUUUGUAGAAAACUCAAGCAACAAAGACCUUCCAGCUCUCCUGAAAUGGUCUGCCCUCUAAUACCUGGCAUCGCUUCGAGGAGUUCUACUCGGUUGUCGAAACUUAAUUUUGACUUGUUCAGCACACAAAGAAAAACAUUUUUACAAAACACCAGGAAAAUUCAUUUUAAAAAAACUAUUUCAAAUGAUGUUUUAGAAGAAAUGUAAAAGUUCUGCCAAAGGCUGGCACACUGAGGAUGAAGAGAAGUUCCUCCAAGGCUUGUGGCUUCCAGAAGUGUGCUCUUCAGUCUAAGGAUGCUGAUGCCAUUCUUACUUCCUUCACUGAUGUAAAAGCUGAAAUGGAAGAAAAUUCCCUGGGCAGCAGGGCUAAGAAAUCUGAUGUCACAGCUCUACAGAUGCCCUAUUGCCCAGGACUGUCUGAGGAAACUUGUGUCUGUACAUCUCCCAAAACAUUGCUGGUCAGGAAUGGACUUUCAGCUGCAUUUGAGGAAUGUAUGUCUUCAAUGCUGUCUUGUUACACUUCAGGCUUCUCUUCUCACAAAGUUGGUUAAAACCAAUUGUAAUAUUUCUCUAGGGAUUCUCAGGCAAUGGACUCCAUCUCAGGCUAAAUUCUGUGAUAAAUCUGCAGAGUACAAAAUGCAUGUAUUUUGUAAAUAAGUGUGUGCAACAAAAAAGUUUGUCUUUUUCAACCCUUAUAAAAAUUAUUACAAUAAACUUUUCCCUCUGAGCUUAUACAACA